UACAGGGGGGGCAAGCGUUGUUCGGAAUUACUGGGCGUAAAGGGCCAGUAGGCGGCCAACUAAGUCACACGUGAAAUCCCCAGGCUUAACCUGGGAACUGCGUGUGAUACUGGAUGGCUUGAAUUCGGGAGAGGGAUGCAGAAUUCCAGGUGUAGCGGUGAUAUGCGUAGAUAUCUGGAGGAAUACCGGUGGCGAAGGCGGCAUCCUGGACCGACAUUGACGCUGAACGGCGAAAGCUAGGGGAGCAAACGGG
rnacentral:rRNA from 1 species